GAAAAUCAUAGAGGUUGCCAUAGACAAGAGUCACUUGUGGAGUAUUGAUAGAUACGCUGAAGCAAGCAAAAGGGGAUGUGGCCGAAGCGUUGGCACUAUCAUGUCAGUUAGCUGGGCCAUUGGUUAAGAGCCAAUGGACUGUCGCGGAUGCGGGGUGCUAUGACGGAG
rnacentral:ncRNA from 1 species